UACUUAAUAAGGAUGGUUGCCACUCACU
rnacentral:piRNA from 1 species